rnacentral:lncRNA from 1 species
CCUUUUUAAUUUUGGGUUGUGGCCUUUUACUUUCUAUUGAUUUUUUUAGCCAUUUUAUUUUUGUAAUGGUCCCACUAAUCAGAUUGGUCCCACAUGUCAUCCUGAUCUCAAAAUUGGUCCCACACAUCAGAAAUUUCAAAAUAUGUCAAACAACCAUUAUAACUUGAACCCCUUUGCCAGGUUACCAUUUCCGGGGUAUUCAAAUCACAUACAAAAUGAUAAUUUUGAAGAAUCCAAAGAGCAAAUGGAAUUCGUCCAAAACAACACUACAUUAGUCUAUUACAAUCGUUACAUUAUACUACAGCCCAAAUAAGCCUACUACUGCCUACAAUUACAAUACAUAAUACGCUACUCUUUGUUGAUAUGCUUCACAGCUUCGGACUUGGAUUCGCACUUCACGUGUGCAAAAAAUAAGAAUGAACAUAUAAGAAUAAGAAUGUGUCGAGAACAUCAAACAAUGGUCAAUGAGGGAUCAAAUAACUUAGAAGCAAGAAUUGACAGCAAAUGAAAUGUACAUAAAUAGUAUGACUAACAUUAAUUAGUAUGUGUUUAUGGAGCAGCUAAAAUGUUCUCAAACUAGCUAGGAUUUUUUUAUGUA